GUGGUAAUGCCGGAUGCUCCGGUUGGAUGCAUGUCCUUCCGGGAAAGGUUCCAUCGGUAUGGGAUGGGGUCGCGUCCUAUCAGCUUGAUGGCGGGGUAACGGCCCACCAUGGCUUCGACGGGUAGCCGGCCUGAGAGGGCGACCGGCCACAUUGGGACUGAGAUACGGCCCAGACUCCUACGGGAGGCAGCAGUGGGGAAUAUUGCACAAUGGGCGCAAGCCUGAUGCAGCGACGCCGCGUGCGGGAUGGAGGCCUUCGGGUUGUAAACCGCUUUUGAUCGGGAGCAAGCCCUUCGGGGUGAGUGUACCUUUCGAAUAAGCACCGGCUAACUACGUGCCAGCAGCCGCGGUAAUACGUAGGGUGCAAGCGUUAUCCGGAAUUAUUGGGCGUAAAGGGCUCGUAGGCGGUUCGUCGCGUCCGGUGUGAAAGCCCAUCGCUUAACGGUGGGUCUGCGCCGGGUACGGGCGGGCUGGAGUGCGGUAGGGGAGACUGGAAUUCCCGGUGUAACGGUGGAAUGUGUAGAUAUCGGAAAAGAAACACCA
rnacentral:rRNA from 1 species